rnacentral:lncRNA from 1 species
CCUUUGGGUUUUCUGGGCCUUUCGUGUCCUUCUCCGGAAAGUGAGGAGGCUGACUGCUCCCGAUUGCCGAGUCCGGCUGAGGUCUAGCCGAGCCUCCUCGUUGAGGAACGUGGGUCGACGUGGAGCGCAGGCCCCAGGCCGCCAAGAUGGCGGCAGCUGUUGCCGCGCAGGUGAAAUGCCCGGAUGGAGGAACAGCGGGAGCCCCCUGCAGGCUAAGAUGCAAGAUUUCACCCCCAGAGACCCUGGUGGAGCGCCUCAAAGAGGUUGCUGCUGGUAUUACAGCAGGUAUGUCGGGCCUGGAACCCUGAGAUCAUCAGUCUCCUUUGUGUCAGGAUACCAGGAGUAACCACUUCCUUGCUCAGAUGUCCAAGCUUCCAGUCCUUUCUAGGUUUUUCUUAAGCUGCUUGAGACUUGAGCUGUGUGAACCAUGAACUGGUGGAAAUGCUACAGCUCGCGAGAAGGAGUUAAGUCGUAGUAGGUGACCCGGGGAGGGCUAGGGGUCUGGCAGAGGAGGGACUCCGAACAGUUUUGUGUGAUUUCGCCCAGAGCCGUCCCGAGCCUCAUGGGCCCUUGGGUAGAAGCACCCAUCCCUCUAAUUUAUGACCCCCUAGACCUCAGCUUCCAGGGUUCUUUUUUCUUGAUUGUUCCAACACUGAAUCAAAAUUAGGGACUAAGUUUUGUUUUGUUUUUUCAUCCUGGUGCCUCCAGUGCUUAGCAUAGUCCAGUGUUAAGUGUGGGAAAGAAAAAUAAUGAAAGAGUAAGUAAGGGCAUGGAAAAAUGAAUGGUAGCCACUGUAACAAGUAUGACAUCAACUGCACUGAGUAGCCAACUCAGAUAAAUGUCUCCUAGCCUUCUGCCUUUUCUGUGGUUGUUCCUGGAAUGGGUGUGUAUACUUUAUGACAUUUGCUGCUGUGGGAAGGAAGAAGAUGAGAAUUCCAGAAGCUCAGAAGCUUCAGAAAUGCAGAAAGUGCGAGGAGAUGGCUCUUUUUGUUUGCUACUCCAAAGGAAUGGCUCAGCGGCCAAAGGUGGCACUGAGUCGGCUUGCGUCUCCCCAUUCACGCUGCCAGCCAAGUCAGGCUGCUGGGAGACUUCCUUGGGGAGACCUGCAAGCUUAUGGCUCAUCUGUUUUAAAGUGGAGCUCUCUGUGAUGGGGAAGGAAUGAGAACUGCUACCCUGAAAGCCAACCUCAAUUUCAGUCUGGCAAGAGAAGACAAAAGCAAGAGAAGACUCUAGUUUAUAAAGUCUGCCUGUUCUAUACGAAUUCCCAUUACGAGCAUUGUGUGAUGAUAGCGGGUUCUAGAGCCCCAAAGCUUGGAAACUGUUAGGUCUCUAUUGAUGGGCUUCCUCUGCUUCCACCUCUUUCUCUGUGAGAGUCUGCACGAUAGCCAUCACGUGCGCGUGUGCGCGCACACACGCAAAACCACACACAAUACACACACACACACAAACACACAGACACACUCGUGUGCACAUCCACAUACCAGUGGUCCCCUGGCAGACCCAAGUCCACCUUCCUGUUGUUAAUUUAUGAUCCUUCUUGCCUGGUGUCUGUUUUGGCUGAUGCUGAAGUGACUGUCUCCCUUUGGGAAAUUCCAGGAAGUUGGAAAAUAUCAGAAAUCAGGAUAUGGGGUCUGAAAAAUAGCAGUGUGGAUGAAUAAUAGGUACAGAGGGAUGCCUGGCAGCUUGCCAGAGACCAGGAGCCAGAGCUCCUUAAGAAAGUGUCAUCACAUCUCCUGGGUGGCUCAUGACUUCUCAGUAGGAACUGAAUGAACAGGAGACCACCCUGGAAUUGGCUUUUGGAAAAAAAGAUUUUUUUGACCAUUAUCCAGGUUCUUGCCUUGAAAACUGGAAGCCCUUGGGAUGGAAAUGCUAUAAAAUUGGGUUGUAAUGAUGUUUAUACAACUAUAAAUGUAAUAAAAUUCA